AGGAGAGUUGGGGCCUUCCAUUCCCUCCAGUAAAUACUUGUUUUUCUUCCACCGCUGAGGCAAAUGCGGGGUGGCUGAUCACCUGGCAGACAUCUUAGGAAACAGGAGCACCGGUCUGGGAAACUGCUGGCCUGGCCUAACACCUGGCGCUGUGGUGCAGGCAAGAGGGCAGCCACUGAGGAUUCUUGAGGAGAGAGAGACCAUAGAAUGAAUGAAAGAGUUGGAAAGACUUUAAAGCUCUGGGAGGCUGAAUCCUUUAUUUCGCUGGAAGAAAAACUGAAUGCCAAGAGGGCCUCACUUUCCCCAAAGCUAUACAGCCAUCAGGGGCAAUGCUGGGAUUCCCCCAUGGAUCUCUUGACUCCUAAUACAGUGCUCUUUCUGAUAUGCCAUCUGGCUCCAUAAUGAACAUUGUGUUCCAGGAAAAUCAGUCUGCGCUGAACAGGAUGGAAUUGGGGCAGGACGUCCAGUGAGGAGGACAUUGAGGCAGUAGAGCAGUUGAUUGCCGAAUGACCACCUACCCUGACUUAAAAGAUCAACCUCAGGGAGGAUUGGAGCUUUCUAGAGUCUCUUGGGACAGCAGAAGCACAGGCCGGGUUGGACUGAAUCUUUAAGUGGACAUGAGGGACAAAGUACCUCCUGUUGGUAAACAUCUCACCACCAACCCACUGUGGUGGCUA
rnacentral:lncRNA from 1 species